UUGGCCUCCUCUCUAUUCUAGCCACUACUAGUGUAAACUGUUCUGCCCAAGUUCCUACCAGUUUUAGCCUUGAUGGCACCUCAGUUAAGUGUGUGCUGCUUUCUGUCCCAGUGUGCCUGCAGGAGCCUACUCAACACUCACACACAGAGACUAAAACAACUUUACCAGAUUGAAACACUCAAGACAAAGGAGCCCAGGAAGCAAAAUUCAUCAGAAAACUAGAGGAAGUUUUCAUGGAGUUGCUAUGAGUUAGAAACUUUUAAUGAAUCCGGUUGUAUUGUUUACCAAGUUAAGAUCCUCUCAGAUGUCAGGAGAUAGAUGUGUAGAUGUCAGCUUAUAAAAUACAACUUUGGUGUGAUAGCAGAAAUAUAAGAGGCUUGAAUCCCUCCAUGCCAAGAGAUAAUGAAGGAGGCCUGAGAUAAGUUGGAAGAAAAACUGGCUACCAAGAGGGAUAGCAUUUUUUUUUGUUGUUAAAUCAAAUAUUUAUGAGACUGGGCUUUGAUUUCCCCAUGGUUUAACAAUUCAAGGGAAAGAUAAUUUUUGAGAGAUACUUAAGGUAUUGGAGUAAUUCAGAUAACUGUACCUUGUAUGAGGUGCAGGACAGCAACAUGGCACAAGUAUACCUAUGUAACAAACGUGCACGUUAUGCACAUGUACCCUAGAACUUAAAGUAUAAUAAUAAAAAAAAAAAGAAAAUAAUUAAUCACUAGAGUUUGGAAUGCAUACAAAUUGUGGUGGGAAUAGAAUAAAUUUUGCAAUGUUAAUACUUGAUGAUGUAACAUGUUCAAAUGAUUAGAAUAUGUCCUGGUGUCAUAGACAUGAUUCUAUCGAUUGUCAAUACAGAACAUUUGGUUUUGAUUUUGGAUUUUACUAAUGUUUGUUAAAUGCCUAUCAUGUGUUGGACGCUUUUAUAUUGGUUUUAAAACUUUUAAUGAUUACUAAAUCCAUUAAAUAUAUAUUAUUUCAUAUUUUAGAGAAGAAAACUGAUAUUCAGAUAAGUUAAAUGGUGCUCAAAGACACAGAGUUAGUAAGGUAAAAGUUGGACUUGAUACUCAGGUCUGUAUGUUUGUAUGACAUCAAAAUUCAUUAUCUUUUCCUGAUAUAAUGGUUUUUUUGGAGACAAGGUCUUACUCUGUCUGUCAUCCAGGCUGGAGUGCAGUGGUGCAGUCUCAGCUCACUGCAGCCUCCACAUACAGGGCUCAAGUGAUCUUCCCACUUCAGCCUCCUGAGUAGCUGG
rnacentral:lncRNA from 1 species